rnacentral:rRNA from 1 species
AGGACGAACGCUGGCGGCGCGCCUAACACAUGCAAGUCGAGCGAUAACCAGGGCUUGCCCUGGGGACAGCGGCGAACGGGUGCGUAACACGUGAGCAACCUGCCCCAAAGACCGGGACAACCCGAGGAAACUCGGACUAAUACCGGAUGCCCUCACCGGGCCGCAUGGUCUGGUGAGGAAAUGGAUUCCGCUUUGGGAUGGGCUCGCGGUCUAUCAGCUUGUUGGUGGGGUAACGGCCUACCAAGGCGAUGAUCGGUAGCUGGUCUGAGAGGAUGAUCAGCCACACGGGGACUGAGACACGGCCCCGACUCCUACGGGAGGCAGCAGCAAGGAAUUUUCCGCAAUGGGGGCAACCCUGACGGAGCAACGCCGCGUGACGGAUGACGCCUCUUGGGGUGUAAACGUCUUUUGCCGGGAAGAGAAUGGACGGUACCCGGCGAAUCAGGACCGGCUAACUACGUGCCAGCAGCCGC